CGAGCCGGCCGGGCGGCCGCGUCGAGGCGAUGAGUCUCGCCGAGGAAAGUCCGGACUCCACAGGGCUGGGUGGUGGGUAACACCCACCCGGGGCAACCCGCGGGACAGUGCCACAGAAAACAGACCGCCGCGUGCCUUGUGUGCGCGGUAAGGGUGAAACGGUGGUGUAAGAGACCACCAGCACCCCAGGCGACUGGGGUGGCUCGGUAAACCCCACCCGGAGCAAGGUCAGACAGAGGACGUUCGAGGGCUGCCCGCCCGAGUUCUCGGGUAGACCGCUGGAGGCCGCCGGCAACGACGGCCCUAGAUGGAUGGUCGCCGGCCCCGGAACCUCCCGGGACCACAGAAUCCGGCUUACAGGCCGGCUCGUCCU
rnacentral:RNase_P_RNA from 1 species